ACCUCUUUCCCACUGUCUCUGGGAAGAGGGAGGGAGGACAGGAAAGGGAAAUGGCUCACCUCAAACCCUGAGUUCUCAUUGACUGUUGGUUCAGAUGUCCAGAACUCAUGGUUAACUUCCAACUCUUCGACCCCAGGGCAGCCCCCGCCCCCCUGCCCCCGAGGACCAGCUGGCCGGUCGCGCCCUCUCCUGGCACCACCGAGAAGCGACGCGCCUGGCUGGCUAGAGGGGCCAGCCAGCCCCAACCAGCGGACAUCCCAGCCGACAUCCCAUGCUUCCUAUCCAUCUGGCCUGCUACAGGGUCUCAACCUCAGGAGCAUGGCUUGAGCCAGCGACGCUUCGUUCUUAAAGGGUUCGUUGACCAGGACCAUUUCCUGGGCUUUGUUCGUCCAGAUUCACAUUUAACACGGGGUCUCCCAGAAGACCUUCACCCAUUUCCCAGCCAAGGCCUCAACAUUUCAAAAGGGUUCCUGAUACCCAUGUAAAGCUGGGCACAGUGCUCCCAUGGGGAGACGGGAGACAGACAUAAGCUUUUGAACCGGCGAAUCUGAUCUACCCUGAAGUAAACAAAAGACUCUACCUCAAACAAGAUGGGAGACAAGGCCUGAAACCUCCACCUAACCACUCUAGUACACACACAUCUGCACUUACACAAACACGCACACAUACACCAUACAGAUACACACCAGGAGCAUCACAUACAUCCAUAUACUCCCACAAAGAUCCACUAAAAAGUCUUUUGCACGUUCCAGUAUCUACUGUUGUGAACCUAGUACAAGUCUUCAUGCAUAGUAGAUACUGAGUGUCAUAGAUUAUUGAUAAAUGGCAAAGAUGUAUGGAUGUGCAUUCAAAGAAGAGCUGUGAUGGUUAGUUCUGAUUGUUAAUGAGACUGGAUAAAGAUACGCCUCAGAGACUAGU
rnacentral:lncRNA from 1 species